CAGCAGCCGCGGUAAUACGUAGGGUGCGAGCGUUAAUCGGAAUUACUGGUCGUAAAGCGUGCGCAGGCGGUUCGUUAAGACAGAUGUGAAAUCCCCGGGCUUAACCUGGGAACUGCAUUUGUGACUGACGGGCUAGAGUAUGGCAGAGGGGGGUAGAAUUCCACGUGUAGCAGUGAAAUGCGUAGAGAUGUGGAGGAAUACCGAUGGCGAAGGCAGCCCCCUGGGCCAAUACUGACGCUCAUGCACGAAAGCGUGGGGAGCAAACAGGAUUAGAUACCCCGGUAGUCCCUGUCUCUUAUAC
rnacentral:rRNA from 1 species